UCCUUUCCGUAGGGUGAACCUGCGGAAGGAUCAUUACCAAAAGAUAAUCUUUCAACACUGAAAGAUCUUUUCCUUUGUGCUGGCUUUGACCGUAUUGUAAUUUUGGGGCUUGAAUAUGGUUCCACGCAAGUGGACCUGCCCCAAAAAUCAUUAUACCAACCUUAUAAAAUUUGACUGAACAACUAAACAAUGAUUUUAAUAAUCUGUUUAAAACAACUUUCAACAACGGAUCUCUUGGUUCUCGCAUCGAUGAAGAACGCAGCGAAAUGCGAUACGUAAUGUGAAUUGCAGAAUUCAGUGAAUCAUCGAAUCUUUGAACGCACAUUGCACUCUCUGGUAUUCCGGAGAGUAUGCCUGUUUCAGUAUCAUGAGCACUCUCACACCUAACCUUUGGGGAUAAAGUGUGGAAUUGGGAUGCGCCAGUUUGCAAAGAUUGGCCCUCUUAAAAUUCAGUUCUUGGCUGUUUUCAAUAUGAGCAGUUUGGCCUAAUAGUUUUGGCUCUUUUGUCAAAUCUUUGGCUUCAUUCGCUUCUGAAAAUCAGUCUUGAUAUACAGAAAACUCAUUCAAACUUUGAUCUGAAAUCAAGUAGGGGUACCCGCUGAACUUAAGCAUAUCAAUAAGCGGGAGA
rnacentral:rRNA from 1 species